GACGAACCGUGCGAACGUUGUUCGGAAUCACUGGGCUUAAAGGGUGCGUAGGCGGCGCGACAAGUUGGGUGUGAAAUCCCUCGGCUCAACCGAGGAACUGCGCCCAAAACUGUCGUGCUCGAGGGAGACAGAGGUGAGCGGAACUUAGGGUGGAGCGGUGAAAUGCGUUGAUAUCCUAAGGAGCACCGGUGGCGAAAGCGGCUCACUGGGUCUCUUCUGACGCUGAGGCACGAAAGCUAGGGUAGCGAACGGG
rnacentral:rRNA from 1 species